rnacentral:rRNA from 1 species
UACGGAGGAUGCGAGCGUUAUCCGGAAUGAUUGGGCGUAAAGGGUGCGUAGGCGGCCUGCUAAGUCUGGAGUGAAAGGUACCGGCUCAACCGGUAUAGGCUCUGGAAACUGGCGGGCUAGAGAGCAGGAGAGGGCGGUGGAACUCCAUGUGUAGCGGUAAAAUGCGUAGAUAUAUGGAAGAACACCAGUGGCGAAGGCGGCCGCCUGGCCUGUUACUGACGCUGAGGCACGAAAGCGUGGGGAGCAA